rnacentral:lncRNA from 1 species
CACACACACACCCACAAAAAGGCAUAAUACCUGUAAGAAGGAAAGCAGUCCUCUAGAAUUGAAGUGUUUGAAAAAAAGCUAUGAGCUCAAUGUUUUGGAGGAAAUCCCUUCUAUAGCAGUGGAAAGAAGGCAGCUCAUUUUGGAGUAAGUGUGGAUAGAACUAGAAAUAGGAGAUAUGGGAGGGACAAGAGAAGGCCAAUAAUCUAUGAGUUUAUGUCCUCAGCUUUGAAUGGUAGGACCGUAUCUGCUAUUCAGUUUUUGAAAUACAGCUGUGCCAUGUGCACUGAACCUUCACACUGGGACUCAGCUGCCAUGCUUCACCUUGGUUAUAAUGAUGACAGAGGCUGAGAAAGCCUAACAUCAUCAAUUAAAACAUCACUUCUACAAUGACAUUUCACUAGUCAGCUUAACAUCAUAAAUUAUGACAUCACCUCUUUCAUGAAACCAGAAGAUUGAAGAAAGGGGACUGACUGAGAAGCUAUUCCUACUGGAAACUAAGAUUCCUCUUUGAUUUGUG